GAACAAGAUCCAAGAGUGGCCUGGUGCAAUUCUGAAAUCACUUUCUAAUCUUUCAUGUUUGAAGCUGGACAAUAAUCCACUGAGACAGGUAACAGGGACUUGAUAUAUGAUUCUUUGCUGUACCAGGAAAUAAUAAAACAGAAACAUAAAAUGGAUAGUGAGGUUGGUUAUGUAUUAAGGGUUGAGCUCCAUCCUGCUAAAACCAUAAGAUAUCUGGCAUGUGCAACUCUUAACGAGUCAAAAAGGGGUAAAGGUGAUGGGACCUCAGGAAACAUCUUGAGAACCCAGAACUGACUACAAUGCUGUUCUAACUUUCUCAUUUCAGGAUUAAUUUCGUGACAAUCAAUAAUUCACAAAGUUCAUUCUUAGAUACAAACUUGAUUGGAUAUCAGUUUUUUAUCCCAAUUCCCAAUGUUCAAACAAAACACAAUUUCAAUGACAUUGAAGAUUGAAAGUUGUUUCCUAGGAAAUGUUUAGUAUGAGAUUAAAAAAUUGAAGGUUGAAAGUUACUCCUAUAAAUUUUAAGGAGUAAUUGUUAAGGGAGUAAAAGAUAAUUAAUUGUGUAACAACUAAUGGUGUUUGGUAGGAGGUUAAUAUAUUUAUGAACUUAAAUGAAGUAUGGUGUUACUACAUUUAUUGAGCUUUGUUAACCUAGUCCCCCUAAGGCUAACAUGUAACUUUUGAAGAGGGGUGAAAUGUUAAGGAGGUUAAAAGUUAACCUAUUCGCUUAUAGCAUCCAAAUAGCAUUAAUGAGAGGUUAAAAGUUACAAAGGUCUUGUUAAUCUCUUACCAAAUGCCCAGUUAAAGUUAACUAACAUGUAAGAACAAGAAGAUAAAGAUGAUGAUGGUAGUCCUUAUGAGUGUCUCUUACCAAAUGCCCAGUUAAAGUUAACUAACAUGUAAGAACAAGAAGAUAAAGAUGAUGAUGGUAGUCCUUAUGAGUGUAGUUUAAGAAAGUUAUAGUGCCAGCUUUCAUUAGUGUGAUCUGGCUGCCUAUUUUCUUGAACUAUAUAUUCCGCCUGAAGGAUUUCAAGUUUUCCAAUUGUCUUGAUCUUUUUCU
rnacentral:misc_RNA from 1 species